CCUACGAGAGGCUGCAGUGAGGAAUAUUGGUCAAUGGGCGCGAGCCUGAACCAGCCAAGUAGCGUGAAGGAUGACUGCCCUACGGGUUGUAAACUUCUUUUAUAAAGGAAUAAAGUGAGGCACGUGUGCCUUUUUGUAUGUACUUUAUGAAUAAGGAUCGGCAAACUCCGUGCCAGCAGCCGCGGUAAUACGGAGGAUCCGAGCGUUAUCCGGAUUUAUUGGGUUUAAAGGGAGCGUAGAUGGGUUGUUAAGUCAGUUGUGAAAGUUUGCGGCUCAACCGUAAAAGUGCAAUUGAUACUGGCAGUCUUGAGUACAGUUGAGGUAAGCGGAAUUCGUGGUGUAGCGGUGUAAUGCUUAGAUAUCACGAAGAACUCCGAUUGCGAAGGCAGCUUACUAAACUGCCACUGACAUUGAUGCUCGAAAGUGUGGGUAUCAAACAGGAUUAGAUACCCCGGUAGUC
rnacentral:rRNA from 1 species